CAAUAGCGUAUAUUAAAGUUGUUGCGGUUAAAAAGCUCGUAGUUGGAUUUCUGGUUGAAGCGACCGGUCGGGCGUUGAUUCGUCUGCACUGGAGUCGGUUUUGGCCAUCCUCUAGGAAAGUGCGUCUGGUAUUAAGUUGUCGGGCGUAUGAUCCUGGUCUUUUACUGUGAAAAAAUUAGAGUGUUUAAAGCAGGCCUUCGCCUUGAAUACAUUAGCAUGGAAUAAUAAGAUAGGACUUUGGUCUAUUUUGUUGGUUUGCAGACCGAAGUAAUGAUUAAUAGGGAUAGUUGGGGGUAUUUAUAUUCCGAUGUCAGAGGUGAAAUUCUUAGAUUUUCGGAAGAUAAACUUAUGCGAAAGCAUUUACCAAGGAUGUUUNCAUUAA
rnacentral:rRNA from 1 species